rnacentral:rRNA from 1 species
UGGGGAAUAUUGGACAAUGGGCGAAAGCCUGAUCCAGCAAUGCCGCGUGAGCGAUGAAGGCCUUAGGGUUGUAAAGCUCUUUCGUGGGGGAAGAUAAUGACUGUACCCCACGAAGAAGCCCCGGCUAACUCCGUGCCAGCAGCCGCGGUAAUACGGAGGGGGCUAGCGUUGUUCGGAAUUACUGGGCGUAAAGCGCACGUAGGCGGAUCAGAAAGUCAGAGGUGAAAUCCCAGGGCUCAACCUUGGAACUGCCUUUGAAACUCCUGAUCUUGAGGUCGAGAGAGGUGAGUGGAAUUCCGAGUGUAGAGGUGAAAUUCGUAGAUAUUCGGAGGAACACCAGUGGCGAAGGCGGCUCACUGGCUCGAUACUGACGCUGAGGUGCGAAAGCGUGGGGAGCAAA